GCAGGUGCCGCCCGCAGGCUUCGGAGGGGAGACGCCGCGUGCCGACGAGAGGUCCGAGAGGUUGUGCGCCGGCUGCCUUUGGGCCUGGAUGCGCAUUUGAGGGGCCGCAGGGGAUGGCGUUCGUCCUCGUCCGGAAUGGGCACGGAGCAGCCGGGUGCACGUGAGGUGGGGGACGU